rnacentral:lncRNA from 1 species
GCUUUAUCUUUUCUUCAAGGCAUUUAUAGUGCAGUAUCUGGUAGAGAAAAUCUUGGGACCUUACCAAGGCAUUGCUUUAUAGUCCUUGCUGUAAUUAUGAGGGAUGGGGGCUCAAGGCCUUGCAGAAUAAUGGCUUGAGAAAAAAGAGAUUUGGGGAUGAUCUUCAGGUUCAUUGGGGCUUGCCAUGUGUCAUACAUUGGUAGGCCUUGGGGUGUGGCUCAUGGAUUGUCUCACAUGGCUUGAUUUAAGGGGGGAACAAUAAAGAGUCAUGAGAUCCGAUGCUUUUGGUGCCAGGCAGGUAGCAAAAUCUGAUGAUUUGAUGAUCAAAUCUAUGUCAUUGAUGGUUCAUAUAUAACUAGGCUAUUGUCUAUUACUUUCUUUUACUCUGGUUUGCUAGGUUUCUUGCCCCUCUACUGUCAGUCGCCUUUUCACCGUUGCUGCUAUUAGAGGAAGGCCCCCCAGUAUCAUCUUCUCUGGCAUUGGUGGUAGCUCCUACUUUGGAUUGGUUUAACAUCUUCUCUCCUUCUUUGUUCUCUAUCUUUCCUAGUUUGACCCUCAUCGAUCUUUUGAGAUCUAUUGUUGCUCCUUCAACUUGGUUAUUUCAGCCCUCCCUUGUAGUUCUUUUUCUCUUAUUCAUGUCUUCUGAUGGUAAUGAAGUUUGGGGCAAAAACCCCACGGUGAUGGUGGUGUUCGAUCGUUGCCUCCUCAAAUCAGGUCCAAGUGAUUCUCAGGCCAUCACCAUGGCUGGAUCCUCUUUUGGGAACCAAAUCUUCAUGUCUCACUGUGUAGACAGUCUAGUGCAUGGGUUCAAAGAUUUAUGGGGCCUGAGCAAUAAGGAGUCAUGCCUAAUUGAGGACACCUUAGGAGGAUUUCGUUCUCAGUUUUUCAUCUCUUCAGCCUUUUGACUCGAAGUCCUAGGGUGAUAUGGUCACAUGAUGAAUACCUCAGGAGGCCA